GUAAAGCGUGCGCAGGCGGUUUGUAAGACUGUCGUGAAAUCCCCGGGCUCAACCUGGGAAUGGCGAUGGUGACUGCAAGGCUAGAGUUUGGCAGAGGGGGUAGAAUUCCACGUGUAGCAGUGAAAUGCGUAGAUAUGUGGAGGAACACCGAUGGCGAAGGCAGCCCCCUGGGUCAAAACUGACGCUCAUGCACGAAAGCGUGGGGAGCAAACAGGAUUAGAUACCCGGGU
rnacentral:rRNA from 1 species